AAGGACUGAAAUGACAGAGAAAAAAAGCUUUGCAGCUAUCAGGCCAGCCUGAGGGCAACGUCAGGGUAACCAGGAGCUAAUGAGAGUCUUCAGAGAGGAAGGCUGGAUUUCUGUAAUACACUCCGGAUGAGCAGAGGCAGGGGAGGGAGCAGGGUUAAGAACGCAAACAAAAAACUAAUGAUGAUAAUUAGUCCUACUCAGAAUAAAACGUCUCCUUCCUAAACCACUGCAGAAGAUAAAAGCAAACAAAACCCAGUCUGCUCAGAAAGGGAGCAGAAGAGUCACCAUGAGAAAAUAGAGAUGACCUCAGGGCAUGUGGGCAGUGGGCAGAAGAGACGCAACUCCAGCAGCAGCCCCAACAGCACAAACACAAGCUGCCUUGUCAACAAAGAGCUGGAGACAACUGGGAAAGGGAAUUAAAUGAUUUGCUUGCUACUGGAUUA